CCCUUAGAUGUCCUGGGCCGCACGCGCGUUACACUGAUGCAUUCAACGAGCUUAUAACCUUGGCCGAGAGGCCUGGGCAAUCUUGUUAACGUGCAUCGUGAUAGGGAUAGAUUAUUGAAAUUAUUAAUCUUGAACGAGGUAUUCCUAGUAAACGCAGAUCAUCAAUCUGCAUUGAUUACGUCCCUGCCCUUUGUACACACCGCCCGUCGCACCUACCGAUUGGAUGGUCCGGUGAAGCCUCGGGAUUGUGGUUCUUGCCGCUUUAUUGUGGCGUGACCGCGAGAACUUGUCUAAACCUUAUCAUCUAGAGGAAGGUGAAGUCGUAACA
rnacentral:rRNA from 1 species